CACCCCUCUUGUUAUGUUCAUUUUUUUUUUCUUUCAAUAUCUUGUGUUGAAUGUCUUCAUUUAUUUUGUCGUAUACGUUGAUAAUGACUACUAUUAUUUGGAAGUAUGUAGAAAGUCUUCAACUUCUCUAUUUUCUAGUAAAAUGAGAUGGAUGCAGUUCUAUUUAUUAAAGUUUUUGGGUUUUCCAAAAGUUUUAAGUUGUUAAUUUUGGUGAAUUACUUGAUAGAUGAUGGUAAAGAUUACUUCUUUGUUCUCAUGUCUGCUUUUGGUAAAGAAAGAUUGCAUUUCCAAAUAUUGCCCAAGCAUCAUUUUGGUGAAGUAAUGAAAGGAUAGUUGACAAUAAGAAACAUCUUGAAUGUGGGGUGGGUGGUAUUGGCUUAUGCCAUUCUUGAUUGUGGGGUGGUAGGUCAGUUUGAGUAGGACAGUUCAGUCUCACCUUAAAGUUAUGCUUAUCUAUCGGGAGGUAGCUGAUAGGGGAAAAGGGAUGUUGGAGGAUCUGGGCUGUCUAGUAAUAGAAAGAUGAACCUGAAUAUUUACGUAGAUUGGUUGGCGUAAAGAUGAUUAACUUUAGGUCAGGGUUGACUUUUUGAGUUUAUUACACAAGUUGUAAUGAGGCUUCCCUCUGUAAAUACUUGUCAGCAGUUUUGCUGCUGUUUUAUACAAUACCAUUUACCAAUCCAAAAACAAAAAUAAGAUGCAUACCUAUGACCGUUUAUGGUUGAUCGAGUCAUCAAGGUUUUGACAUUUGCGCAUGCAAUGUGUUGAACUUUCCAAGCCAAGCUUGAGAAGACUAUUUCAGACCAUAAAGUGACUUACACAAUCGACAUACAAGUCUACUAGACUCUCCUUGAGCAACAAAAUAAGAUGGUUGCUCCAUAUAGACUUCUUCCUCAAGAUCACCAUGGAGAAAAACAUUCUUAAUGUCCAACUGAUUACCAAUGGAGAACGACAACCAUAGAUAGAUUAAGGCGGGCAUACGCUAUUUUAGCCACGGGAGUGAAAAUAUCACUUUAAUCCAGCCCAAAUAUCUACUUAUAACUAUUUUUUUGGGCAAAAGUAAAUCUUAAACAAGAAAGUCACGGUAAAGCUGGACGGAAUAUGCUCAUGUGUCGGACAAAUAGAUUUGAUGUUUGAAAGUGGUCACAAUUUGAGGAAUAAAAUUAUAUGGGUAGGUAGGGUCAGAUGAUGGGACGACCCUAUUGAGAAAGAGAAUUAUAUGGAUAAGAUUGGAUUGACGACGCAACCCUACUGAAAAAGAGAAAUUAUAUGAGUAGGGUCAAAAUGGUGGCACGAUCUAUUCAAAUAAGAUUUAAGGGGUCACAGGAAAGAUGCACAGGGUCAGAAUGAUGGCACGAUCCUCUGCAAAAAAGAUUUAAGGAGUCACAUGAAAGAUGCAUGGAACUACACAAAUCAAAUUUUAGGAGUCACCGUAAAAAUGUAAAGACAUACAUACAGUGCUAUGCAACUCAGACAUGAGAAAUUAGUUUGAAAAAAUCUACGGUACUAUGCAAAUUAAAUAUGAGAAGUAGUCUAGAGAGAUGAACCAUACUAUGCAAAUCAGAUAUGUGAAAGUACUCAUUGGAAAUAUGUCACGAUGCUACGGCUACGCAAUCAAAUAUGAGAAAGUAGUCAUCGAAAGAUGGCAGAGUGUUGCACAAAUUAGAUAUGAGAAAAUUGCCACCAAAAAGAUACACGAUAACUCAACUUUUGCUAACAUAAUGUUAGCAAGGCGGGUGGCACAUAUGGUUAAUAGUGGCCCACCGACAUCGGAGGCUCCUUGAUUCUGUACCAAUACCAAGAUCGUAGACUGUGAUACUAGGUGAGAAAUAUAGGAAAA